rnacentral:rRNA from 1 species
ACGGAAGGCAGCAGUGGGGAAUAUUGCGCAAUGGGCGCAAGCCUGAUGCAGCGAUGCCGCGUGAGGGAAGAAGGUUUUCGGAUUGUAAACCUCUGUCAUCGGGGACGAUAAUGACUGUACCCGAGAAGGAAGCUCCGGCUAACUACGUGCCAGCAGCCGCGGUAAUACGUAGGGGGCAAGCGUUAUCCGGAUUUACUGGGUGUAAAGGGAGCGUAGACGGUCUUGCAAGUCUGAUGUGAAAGGCAGGGGCUCAACUCCUGGACUGCAUUGGAAACUGUAAGUCUUGAGUGCCGGAGAGGUAAGCGGAAUUCCUAGUGUAGCGGUGAAAUGCGUAGAUAUUAGGAGGAACACCAGUGGCGAAGGCGGCUUACUGGACGGUAACUGACGUUGAGGCUCGAAAGCGUGGGGAGCAAACAGGAUUAGAUACCCUGGUA